UACGUAGGGGGCGAGCGUUGUCCGGAAUCAUUGGGCGUAAAGAGCGUGUAGGUGGCUCGGUAAGUCCGCUGUGAAAGUCCAGGGCUCAACCCUGGAAAGCCGGUGGAAACUGUCGAGCUCGAGUCCGGAAGAGGCGAGUGGAAUUCCUGGUGUAGCGGUGAAAUGCGCAGAUAUCAGGAGGAACACCAAUGGCGAAGGCAGCUCGCUGGGACGGUACUGACACUGAGACGCGAAAGCGUGGGGAGCAAACAGG
rnacentral:rRNA from 1 species